GUGAGAAGUUAAUAUAGAAGCAAGUGUUAGGAAUGAUUGCUUGGAAGUUAAGUUCAGGCCAUGAAGACAAAUAAAACCAUAUUCUAUGAUCUGAAAACUAUGCAAAGCUCCAUUCAUCUUUCUCGGAAACAAAAGAACUUGAUUGCCAAGAUGUAUGAUUCCAAUAAUCAAGAGUAAAGGGGAAGAAAUGAAGAAGAAAGUUUAUUGAUUCCCCGCCUGAGAAUUCUGCUAACUGGAGGAAAAUGUUAAGUGCAGGAUGUGAGAGCAUUUGGAGCGAGGGGAUACACUGUCCCCUCCCCAGUAUCUGCCUUCCUGCACCAAGACCCGAUUUCUUCUUCAUUGCCUUUUCAUUGCGUCUGCGUUCCCGUUCUACUCUGAUGCCCUAUUCCUCCACACACUUCAAAUCUAAGUGAAUUCUGAUCCAAGACUAUUUAAUAGUUGGGCAAUUUUUGGAGUGCGGAAUAAAAAAAAUUAAAGUACUGGUCUUCAGUGAGCGCACAGGCUACCUGUCUUUCGAAAACAAACCCGAAUAAAGCCAAACAGU
rnacentral:lncRNA from 1 species